rnacentral:tmRNA from 1 species
GGGGCUGAUUCUGGAUUCGACGGGAUUCGCGAAACCCAAGGUGCAUGCCGAGGGGCGGUUGGCCUCGUAAAAAGCCGCAAAAAAAUAGUCGCAAACGACGAAAACUACGCUUUAGCAGCUUAAUAACCUGCUCUGAGCCCUCUCUCCCUAGCUUCCGCUCUUAAGACGGGGAUCAAAGAGAGGUCAAACCCAAAAGAGAUCGCGUGGA